rnacentral:rRNA from 1 species
GACGAACGCUGGCGGCGUGCUUAACACAUGCAAGUCGAACGGAAAGGCCCUGCUUUUGCGGGGUGCUCGAGUCGCGAACGGGUGAGUAACACGUGAGUAACCUGCCCUUGACUUUGGGAUAACUUCAGGAAACUGGGGCUAAUACCGGAUAGGAGCUCCUGCUGCAUGGUGGGGGUUGGAACGCUUCGGUUGUUGGGGACGGACUCGCGGCUUAUCAGCUUGUUGGUGGGGUAGUGGCUUACCCAGGCUUUGACGGAUAGCCGGCCUGGGAGGGGGACCGGGCACAAUGGGACUGAGGUAGGGACCAGUGGGCAACGGGGGACAGCGGUGGAGAAUAUUGCACAAUGGGCGGGAGCCUGUGGAGGCAACGCCGGGUGCGGAAUGACGGCCUUCGGGGUGUAAACCGCUGUCGCCUGUGACGAUGCGGGAGUGACGGUAAUGGGAAAAGAAGCACCGGCUAACUACGUG